CACGUAGGGGGCGAGCGUUGUCCGGAAUCAUUGGGCGUAAAGAGCUCGUAGGCGGCUCGGUAAGUCGGGUGUGAAACCCCCAGGCUCAACCUGGGGACGCCACCCGAUACUGCUGUGGCUAGAGUCCAGUAGGGGAGUGUGGAAUUCCCGGUGUAGCGGUGAAAUGCGCAGAUAUCGGGAGGAACACCCGGUGGCGAAGGCGGACCUCUGGACG
rnacentral:rRNA from 1 species